rnacentral:rRNA from 1 species
AGCGAACGCUGGCGGCAGGCCUAACACAUGCAAGUCGAACGGAUCCUUCGGGAUUAGUGGCGGACGGGUGAGUAACACGUGGGAACGUGCCCUUUGGUUCGGAACAACUCAGGGAAACUUGAGCUAAUACCGGAUGUGCCCUUCGGGGGAAGGAUUUAUCGCCAUUGGAGCGGCCCGCGUCGGAUUAGCUAGUUGGUGAGGUAAAGGCUCACCAAGGCGACGAUCAGUAGCUGGUCUGAGAGGAUGAUCAGCCACAUUGGGACUGAGACACGGCCCAAACUCCUACGGGAGGCAGCAGUGGGGAAUCUUGCGCAAUGGGCGAAAGCCUGACGCAGCCAUGCCGCGUGAAUGAUGAAGGUCUUAGGAUUGUAAAAUUCUUUCACCGGGGACGAUAAUGACGGUACCCGGAGAAGAAGCCCCGGCUAACUUCGUGCCAGCCGCCGCGGUAA